GACCCUCCAAGAAAGCAGAAAAGGAGGUUCCUGAUGCAAAACCUAAAGAGCUUUCAUCUGAGGAAGAUUUUCUGCAAACUAGGAAUAGAAGCAAGCUUCUUAACCUGAUGUAUCGCACCUUCAAAAAGCCUACAGCAAACAUCUUACUUAGUGAUGAAAAACUGAUUGCCUUCCCCAUAAGAUUGAGAACCAGGAACUGUCCAGGAAGACCCUGCAGUCUCUCUGCAGGCUCAUGGGAGCUCCCAGAACUGAGACAACACACGGAUCCAGGCCUGCUUCGAAGUCAGUGGGAUGCGGCCCUUGAAAGUCGAUGUAUUGGGUUCCUAGGGCUCUCGUGAAAACAUGCCACACCUGGCUGGUUUUAAACAACAGGAGUUUAUUCUGUCAGUUGAGAAGGCUACAAGUGCAAAAUCAAGGUAUUGACGGGAUGAGUUCCAACUAGAGGCUGUGAGGCAGAUCAACUCCAUGGCUCUCUCCUGGCUUCUGCUGGUUUCUGGCAACCGUUCACUUCCCAUGCCUGGUAGACACAUCACUCUAACCUCUGCCUCCCUUUUUCAUGGGCACAUUCGCGCCUGUGUGUGUGUGUGUGUGGAUGUGUGUGUUAAGGACAGCAAUCAUUAGACUAGAUGGGGCCCACUCUAAUCCACUGUGAGCUUCUCUUACUUUGGUAACAUCUGCAAAGACCCUAUUUCCAAACAAGGUCACAUUCCAUGUUCUGGGACUGUCUUCUGAGAGAUGUCUCCCCCAGGAUCCUUCCAGGUGGAAGGAUGCCCUUUGACCUGCAAAGCCAGGCAGAAAACCAGGAUCAGGGCAGGACAAGAGGAUGCUAGCCUGUGAUGGCUCCCACUCAGGUGGGAUGUGAGAAGUGCCUGUGGCCUGGGACACACCAACUUGCUCCCGUUACCUCAUCUGAGAUGGACUGCACAGUGUAUGUCCAGGGCCCAACCCGGUACACUGUGCCUUUGCAAUGCUGUCUCUGUGCUUUGGAAAUUCACUCAGCCCACUGCGUGGGGUGGUCUGAGGCGGGCCACAACCAUUUCUCAACCAUCCCUGAGUACCUGACCAGUAUCCCUCGGGGGUGACGACGACCGCCUACAUCUGGAGCAUGAGGAGCGUGUUUACCUGGUGAGUAAGGAUGCAAGCAUAGGACGUCCUGGCCGAUCCUCUGCACAAGCAAUGCCUUUGCUCCAACGGGAUGGGCAACGUUGGAUUAGGCCUGAGGCAGAUUUGAUCUCGGAAGAUACAUUCGAGUCUAUGUGUUUUGUGCAUUUAUUUUUGUUUCCUUGAAUUAACAUGGAGUCCAUUUCAACUUUCA
rnacentral:lncRNA from 1 species